rnacentral:rRNA from 1 species
UGAACGCUAGCUACAGGCUUAACACAUGCAUGUCGAGGGGCAGCAUUUUAGUUUGCUUGCAAACUGAAGAUGGCGACCGGCGCACGGGUGAGUAACACGUAUCCAACCUGCCGAUAACUCCGGAAUAGCCUUUCGAAAGAAAGAUUAAUACCGGAUAGCAUACGAAUAUCGCAUGAUAUUUUUAUUAAAGAAUUUCGGUUAUCGAUGGGGAUGCGUUCCAUUAGUUUGUUGGCGGGGUAACGGCCCACCAAGACUACGAUGGAUAGGGGUUCUGAGAGGAAGGUCCCCCACAUUGGAACUGAGACACGGUCCAAACUCCUACGGGAGGCAGCAGUGAGGAAUAUUGGUCAAUGGGCGAGAGCCUGAACCAGCCAAGUAGCGUGAAGGAUGAAGGCUCUAUGGGUCGUAAACUUCUUUUAUAUGGGAAUAAAGUUUUCCACGUGUGGAAUUUUGUAUGUACCAUAUGAAUAAGGAUCGGCUAACUCCGUGCCAGCAGCCGCGGUAAUACGGAGGAUCCGAGCGUUAUCCGGAUUUAUUGGGUUUAAAGGGAGCGUAGGUGGAUUGUUAAGUCAGUUGUGAAAGUUUGCGGCUCAACCGUAAAAUUGCAGUUGAAACUGGCAGUCUUGAGUACAGUAGAGGUGGGCGGAAUUCGUGGUGUAGCGGUGAAAUGCUUAGAUAUCACGAAGAACUCCGAUUGCGAAGGCAGCUCACUAGACUGUCACUGACACUGAUGCUCGAAAGU